UACGUAGGGGGCAAGCGUUGUCCGGAAUCAUUGGGCGUAAAGAGCGCGUAGGCGGCCCAGUAAGUCCGCUGUGAAAGUCGGGGGCUCAACCCUCGGAUGCCGGUGGAUACUGUCGGGCUAGAGUACGGAAGAGGCGAGUGGAAUUCCUGGUGUAGCGGUGAAAUGCGCAGAUAUCAGGAAGAACACCCGUGGCGAAGGCGGCUCUCUGGGACGGUACUGACGCUGAGACGCGAAAGCGUGGGGAGCGAACAGG
rnacentral:rRNA from 1 species